CCUACCGAUUGAACGGUCCGGCGAGAACUCCGGAUGGUCGGCACGCAGGGGUCAAACCCUGUGUCCGUGCCAGAAGCUGUUCGAACCUUACCGUUUAGAGGAAGGAGAAGUCGUAACAAGGUA
rnacentral:rRNA from 1 species